rnacentral:rRNA from 1 species
GAACGCUGGCGGCGUGCCUAAUACAUGCAAGUCGAGCGAACAGAUGAGAAGCUUGCUUCUCUGAUGUUAGCGGCGGACGGGUGAGUAACACGUGGGUAACCUACCUAUAAGACUGGGAUAACUCCGGGAAACCGGGGCUAAUACCGGAUAAUAUUUUGAACCGCAUGGUUCAAUAGUGAAAGACGGUUUCGGCUGUCACUUAUAGAUGGACCCGCGCCGUAUUAGCUAGUUGGUAAGGUAACGGCUUACCAAGGCGACGAUACGUAGCCGACCUGAGAGGGUGAUCGGCCACACUGGAACUGAGACACGGUCCAGACUCCUACGGGAGGCAGCAGUAGGGAAUCUUCCGCAAUGGGCGAAAGCCUGACGGAGCAACGCCGCGUGAGUGAUGAAGGUCUUCGGAUCGUAAAACUCUGUUGUUAGGGAAGAACAAAUUUGUUAGUAACUGAACAAGUCUUGACGGUACCUAACCAGAAAGCCACGGCUAACUACGUGCCAGCAGCCGCGGUAAUACGUAGGUGGCAAGCGUUAUCCGGAAUUAUUGGGCGUAAAGCGCGCGUAGGCGGUUUCUUAAGUCUGAUGUGAAAGCCCACGGCUCAACCCGUGGAGGGUCAUUGGAAACUGGGAAACUUGAGUGCAGAAGAGGAGAGUGGAAUUCCAUGUGUAGCGGUGAAAUGCGCAGAGAUAUGGAGGAACACCAGUGGCGAAGGCGGCUCUCUGGUCUGUAACUGACGCUGAUGUGCGAAAGCGUGGGGAUCAAACAGGAUUAGAUACCCUGCUAGUCCACGCCGUAAACGAUGAGUGCUAAGUGUUAGGGGGUUUCCGCCCCUUAGUGCUGCAGCUAACGCAUUAAGCACUCCGCCUGGGGAGUACGACCGCAAGGUUGAAACUCAAAGGAAUUGACGGGGACCCGCACAAGCGGUGGAGCAUGUGGUUUAAUUCGAAGCAACGCGAAGAACCUUACCAAAUCUUGACAUCCUUUGACCGCUCUAGAGAUAGAGUCUUCCCCUUCGGGGGACAAAGUGACAGGUGGUGCAUGGUUGUCGUCAGCUCGUGUCGUGAGAUGUUGGGUUAAGUCCCGCAACGAGCGCAACCCUUAAGCUUAGUUGCCAUCAUUAAGUUGGGCACUCUAGGUUGACUGCCGGUGACAAACCGGAGGAAGGUGGGGAUGACGUCAAAUCAUCAUGCCCCUUAUGAUUUGGGCUACACACGUGCUACAAUGGAUAAUACAAAGGGCAGCGAAUCCGCGAGGCCAAGCAAAUCCCAUAAAAUUAUUCUCAGUUCGGAUUGUAGUCUGCAACUCGACUACAUGAAGCUGGAAUCGCUAGUAAUCGUAGAUCAGCAUGCUACGGUGAAUACGUUCCCGGGUCUUGUACACACCGCCCGUCACACCACGAGAGUUUGUAACACCCGAAGCCGGUGGAGUAACCUUUUAGGAGCUAGCCGUCGAAGGUGGGACAAAU